rnacentral:rRNA from 1 species
GACGAACGCUGGCGGCGUGCUUAACACAUGCAAGUCGAACGGAAAGGCCCUGCUUGCAGGGUACUCGAGUGGCGAACGGGUGAGUAACACGUGGGUGAUCUGCCCUGCACUUCGGGAUAAGCCUGGGAAACUGGGUCUAAUACCGGAUAGGAGCCAUUUUUAGUGUGAUGGUUGGAAAGUUUUUUCGGUGUAGGAUGAGCUCGCGGCCUAUCAGCUUGUUGGUGGGGUAAUGGCCUACCAAGGCGGCGACGGGUAGCCGGCCUGAGAGGGUGGACGGCCACAUUGGGACUGAGAUACGGCCCAGACUCCUACGGGCGGUAGCAGUGGGGAAUAUUGCACAAUGGGCGCAAGCCUGAUGCAGCGACGCCGCGUGGGGGAUGACGGCCUUCGGGUUGUAAACUCCUUUCGCUAGGGACGAAGCUUUUUGUGACGGUACCUAGAUAAGAAGCACCGGCUAACUACGUG